GAUGAACGCUGGCGGCGUGCUUAACACAUGCAAGUCGAGCGAAGCGAUUUUAAGGAAGCCUUCGGGUGGAAUUAAAAUUGACUUAGCGGCGGACGGGUGAGUAACGCGUGGGUAACCUGCCUCAUACAGGGGGAUAACAGUUAGAAAUGACUGCUAAUACCGCAUAAGCGCACAGUGCUGCAUAGCACAGUGUGAAAAACUCCGGUGGUAUGAGAUGGACCCGCGUCUGAUUAGGUAGUUGGUGAGGUAACGGCCCACCAAGCCGAGGAUCAGUAGCCGACCUUGGAGGGUGACCGGCCUCAUUGGGACUGAGACACGGCCCAAACUCCUACGGGAGGCAGCAGUGGGGAAUAUUGGACAAUGGGGGAAACCCUGAUCCAGCGACGCCGCGUGACUGAAGAAGUAUUUCGGUAUGUAAAGGUCUAUCAGCAGGGAAGAAAAUGACGGUACCUGACUAAGAAGCCCCGGCUAACUACGUGCCAGCCGCCGCGGUAA
rnacentral:rRNA from 1 species